GUGCUCGCUUCAGUAGCACAUACACCAAAACUGGAGCCAUAUACAGGUUAGCAUGGCUCGGCUCCUGCGCAAAAAUGACACUCAAAUUCGUUAAGUGUAACAAACAAAA
rnacentral:snRNA from 1 species